AAUUCGUAAUAAUUCAAACGAUUUAACCAAGUGGCUAAAUCGUAUGAAAUCAUACGAGCUGGCUCGUACGAAAUCGUACGAUUAGUUCAUCGCAUUUAACACAGCCCUGUGUUGCAGGGAUUUCGUGCUAAUUAAUACGAAUAGAUUAAAUCGUACUAUACCAUACGAUUUUGUUCAUCGCAUUCAAGAAGCGUGACCCGUAGCCAGAAAAAAACUCUGGGUGUGCAUCUGAAAAUCUGCGUGUGUCACAGGCAAGAUAAGCAGAAACGCUGGGGAAUUCAGGUGCUGUAAAUCCGGUGGACAGGACUCAUCUCGUUAUAGAUCAAGAUAAUUUAUAAAGAUCUUUAAACGAAGGAUUGGAGUAUCAGAUAGUUGACAUGGUGUGCUACUGUGGUUGGCUCCGGCACACCCGUGGCUACGCCCCUGCCGUGACCCAAAUCUCGUUCGCACAUCAUCGCGAUAUGUAUCAUCUGUUUACAAACGUCGCCACUCGUUUCUUCACAUACAUCUCAUGCUCCUCCAUCUACACGCUCCACAACAUUUAAACCAACGGCUCUUUUAAGAGCCAUCACUUGCAAAAGCUCUCGUACUCGCUCUCCUACUCACUCACUCACUCUCCAACUCACUCUCCUACUAACUCACUCACUCUCCAACUCACUCACUCUUCUAUAGGGCUGUGCAAAAUAAUCGUCUGCGAUUCUCAUG